GAAAUGCGAUAUGUAAUGUGAAUUGCAGAAUUCAGUGAAUCAUCGAAUCUUUGAACGCACCUUGCGCUCCUUGGUAUUCCGAGGAGCAUGCCUGUUUGAGUGUCAUGGAAUUCUCAACUCUAUUUGCUUUUGUGAAUAGAGCUUGGAUUUGAAGGUUUAUUGCUGGUACUUGUGAUCGGCUCCUCUUGAAUGCAUUAGCUCGAACCUUUGCGGAUCAGCUAUCGGUGUGAUAAUUGUCUACGCCGUUGCAGUGAAGCAUAUCAAUGGGCUCGGCUUCCAAUCGUCCUUUACUGGACAAUGACUUUGACCUUUGACCUCAAAUCAGGUAGGAUUACCCGCUGAACUUAAGC
rnacentral:misc_RNA from 1 species